GAGAUGAGGGACUUCGUCAUCUCAUGCCAUGACACUGCUGCUUCCCAGACCUCUUCUGGAUUUGUUAUCGUCCUACCAGGGCACAAGCUUGAGACCGUGCCUAAAAUGCCAACAGUGAAAGCAGACCUGACAGGACAUGUGAAGGCUGCCCCAGAGAAGGGCUGGGGAAAAGGUGUUGGCAGUGGAAAGAAAGAGGAUCUUGCUGAGCAGCGCCUCCUUCGUCAAGCAAG